rnacentral:rRNA from 1 species
GACGUGGGGGGCCAGCGUUGCUCGGAAUUACUGGGUGUAAAGGGUUCGUAGGCGGUGUGGCAAGUCGGGAGUGAAAUCUCUGGGCUUAACCCAGAGACUGCUUCCGAAACUGCUGUGCUUGAGUGUGGGAGAGGCGCGUGGAAUUGCAGGUGUAGCGGUGAAAUGCGUAGAUAUAGGAAGGAACACCAGUGGCGAAGGCGACUUUCUGGUCUGUAACUGACACUGAGGCGCGAAAGCGUGGGGAGCGAACAGG